CCGCCCCUACGGGGACGGGGACAGGGACGGGGACAGGCACGGGCAGCUGCCCCGGGCGCCCGGCAGCUAUUUCUGCUACAGCUUCCUGUCCUUGACCCACCGAUACAUUGUGAAGUUCUACUGAGUCAAUGAAUCCUGGUAAAAUGCAGUAAAGGAUUUAAGGUUAUCGUCUGCCUCUCUCUAACUUCUGACAUCUCUUUAUAACAAGAAAGAGUCACAGCCAACUGUAACAGGAGGGCAACACAAUGAAUCCUGCUGUAUAUCCUCUACAGGAGAUCAAAAACUUGCAAUGAUGGUUGUUUGGAAACUGAAGAGAACAGAAAUGUUUAAAGAUGAUAGAUAAAAUAUUUGAAAAUGCACAAAUCAGUGUCCUUUGCUGACUUUCAGUUAGACUAUGCUUCCCAGUGCACAAACUGUUUCUGAAAAUACAGCCUGACAUCCCCAGCCACCUUAGAUUUGGGAGCAAGCAGCUCAGUGUCUGGUCCGUCAAAGCAUUUAAGCACACAAACAGUCCCACUGGGUCAAAGCCUUAGUUAUUCCCAGAGGGAGGAGUGGAAGAUAAUUCAGCAUGGAUGACCGAGCACGAGGACAAGGCAAGAACGACAUGCAACUCAGGAGAGUCCCAGGCAAAGCACCCAAAUGACUCUGAGCACAGAAGAUGAACUGGCUGGGGAGCUGGUAAAUGAAAGAUCAGAAAGAUGCUGUAUUAGACCCCAACACAGUGAGGAGCUCGAGAAGAGGUGUCGUUGGGUGCAUGUGGAUAGAGUCAGCCGCUGGAGCCCGGGGCUGUCUGGGCAGCCAGCGAAACACAUGUGGAAGAGGCGUGAUCCCACCAGCAGCAAAGUCGACUUGGCAAAUAGGUGUCCAUGCAGCUCGACUGAACUCAGUGGUACUCCCCAGGGAAAGUCAGAGCUGAGCAUGGCUCCUGGGAGAGGGCUGUGUUUUAUCCCAGCUGUGCUGCUGCAGAGCUCUGUGCACCUUGAGGACGACCAAGGGAUGUCGCUGGGAAUCUCCCUAGAGUAAUGCUGAAUGAGCGCCUCAAAGCCUCUUCUUGCUUCCCGCCUCGAGGACAGCAUGAGGCAGUACUUGUGUGCAUUGUAGGACAUAAAAAGGCACUGGAUGAUGGGACAGAUAGAUAUUUCAUUGGGAAGGUUUGGGAAAACAGAGUAAAUUACAGAACAAACAUUUCUAAAUGGGGCCCAAAGAUACCCUUUAAAGAAGGGCCCAGUAGGAGUUCUGCAGCACCCACCCAGCCUACAGGGAUUCAGAAGCGAGCGGAGUGCGGGCACGUUACCUCCUGCCUUCGUGUGCCUCUGUGCAGGGUGAGAGCAGGCAGGACCUGUGUUAGAAACGUGUGCUGUCAGCAAGGCUGCGUGAGGCACGCCGACCGAAUCCUGGCUCUCCUUCCUGCACAGGGAAGAUCCAGGCACUGACUGGGAACUCGCCAUGCAUGAAGACAAGCAUCUGCUAUGGUCCCAAGGCAUGUCAUGUGGCUGCAGAGGCUGGGGAUGUGGCCCAAUUGUUUACCUGAAACUUAAAGGUGUUAGUGAGUGAUAAAUCGUACUGGCAAAUACCUUUGCUCUAUACAAUGAAUCAUGCUGGAAAUACCUCAGACAGAAAAAGAUAUUAUAAAUAAUUGAAUUUUAGAGGCCUCUGAAGUGACCAAAAAAAGUUUUAAAAAUACAUCUAGUGGUCCUGACUUUAAAGUUCCGGUCGUUGGGCCAACCAGGAUUCCAGCUUUCCCCGAGAUUUCUGUCUCCCACUGCAGUGGACUCCUACAAAGCUUGUUGCUUGAUAUGUAUAUACAUUGCCUAUACACAAAUGACAGCUGACAAAUGGGUAGCAAUAGGUCUGCAAGUGAGAUCAAGGGCCAGCACUUAGGCACUGAACCUAAGGGGAUGGAGAGAGAAGAAAGCGGAAAAGCUACCUGCUGUGCUGAGCAUGGAUGCUGCAGCUCUCAUGGCGGGGAGCAGAACUUGCUUGAAGCUGGUUUUAGCAGGUCGUUCAGGAACUAGGAAUGAUUUUUUACUGCAGUUUUGGCUCUACUGAGCCAGGCUGAAACACAUUGUGCGCCACCCUGCCCUCAGACCAUUCAAUGUUCGGCAAAUCUUCUUGUAAAAUAAUAAAAUAAAAAGGAGGCACCUGAAGCAAAAAUGUAAAUAGACAACAGAGACAUAGAAGAUAUAGAUAUAUAUAUAUAUGUGUGGUUAAACAAUGGAAGAACAAUCCCAGUUCGUGCAGGUCAAACACAGGACUUGUGAAAGGUGCCAGAGGCAGUGAAAGUGGUGGUGUGUGGAUGGACAUGAGCCACAUGGGGAACUGGAAGUUGCCAGCUCCUCCACAAAUUUUUUUCAAGGUUUUAUCAUAUGAAACACUGCGUGCCAGGAAAGGUACAUAGCUCGCUAUUGGGUACCACUUCUUCCCUCUCAUCUUUUUUUUUACCUCACUUACUUACUUACAACAUGAGCACCCCUUCUCAGUACCCCUACUCAGCUGGCAAGUUAUCUGGGAUGUGGAACAGAUUUGGGCAAGGACAGAGAGGCCAAACUGCAGGUGAAGAGGGAGCCACACAGCACUACUGCCUAUUCAAAUGGAAGCCCAGAACAAUCAGGCCCUUAAUGUGUUACAAUCCAUUUGACUAUCCACAUUUUUGACUUUCUGUAAAUAAUGUGCUAAAUGGAUAAAAGAAGAUACCAUUUUUCCUUCUUUCCCCUGAGUUACUGAUAACAAGACAAGUUCCUUCCCUUACAGUUUGUGCAUAUAAAUGUGAUUAAUGUUAAAAAAAAAAUUAAAGUGCCAAAA